rnacentral:rRNA from 1 species
GUGUACCUACGGGAGGCAGCAGUGGGGAAUAUUGCACAAUGGGCGAAAGCCUGAUGCAGCAACGCCGCGUGAAGGAAGAAGGGUUUCGGCUCGUAAACUUCUAUUAACAGGGACGAAAGAAAUGACGGUACCUGAAUAAGAAGCCCCGGCUAACUACGCGCCAGCAGCCGCGGUAAUAUGUAGGGGGCAAGCGUUAUCCGGAAUUACUGGGUGUAAAGGGUGAGUAGGCGGCAUGGUAAGCCAGAUGUGAAAGCCUUGGGCUUAACCCGAGGAUUGCAUUUGGAACUAUCAAGCU